UACGUAGGUGGCAAGCGUUGUCCGGAUUUACUGGGUGUAAAGGGCGUGUAGGCGGGAUGGUAGGUCAGAUGUGAAAUACCUAGGCUUAACUUAGGGGCUGCAUUUGAAACCACCGUUCUUGAGUGCUGGAGAGGGAAGCGGAAUUCCUAGUGUAGCGGUGAAAUGCGUAGAUAUUAGGAGGAACACCAGUGGCGAAGGCGGCUUUCUGGACAGUAACUGACGCUGAGGCGCGAAAGCGUGGGGAGCAA
rnacentral:rRNA from 1 species